UAUGAUGAUGUCAUCUUCCGGUAAGAAAUUCUAGUAGGGCAUUGCCCUCAUUGCCUGCCCUGCAGCCGCCUAUGGUGCAAUGGAGACACACAUUGACUUUGAGAGACUAUUAGAAGAAUUAGGAUCAGAAGCAACCAAUUUACCUGAUAUAUCACAAGGUAUACAGUCACGUGACACUACUCACUGAUCACGUGAUCACAGGUUGGUCUGAUGGUUUGAGACGAGCGAUGGAUCAUCAAGCAAUGAGUCUGUCUCAGUCUCCAGAGACGUUUGGUACAUGGCUACUGAU